rnacentral:rRNA from 1 species
AGAGUUUGAUCAUGGCUCAGGAUGAACGCUAGCUACAGGCUUAACACACGCAAGUCGAGGGGUAGCAGGGUAGCAAUACCGCUGACGACCGGCGCACGGGUGAGUAACACGUAUCCAACCUUCCCAUAACUCAGGGAUAGCCUUUCGAAAGAAAGAUUAAUACCUGAUAGUACUUUUUCAAGGCAUCUUGAGAAAGUUAAAGAUUUAUUGGUUAUGGAUGGGGAUGCGUUCCAUUAGAUAGUUGGUGAGGUAACGGCUCACCAAGUCUUCGAUGGAUAGGGGUUCUGAGAGGAAGGUCCCCCACAUUGGUACUGAGACACGGACCAAACUCCUACGGGAGGCAGCAGUGAGGAAUAUUGGUCAAUGGGCGAGAGCCUGAACCAGCCAAGUAGCGUGAAGGAUGAAGGUCCUAUGGAUUGUAAACUUCUUUUAUAGUAGAAUAAAGUGAUCCACGUGUGGAUUUUUGUAUGUAUACUAUGAAUAAGGAUCGGCUAACUCCGUGCCAGCCGCAGC